GAUGAGACCAUGUCGCUAUCAGUCGGCAACACUUCAUCAACAACGAUCGAUUGUCACUUCAUUGUGUCGAUCGACACUGAGCAAGUCAUCGUUCUUACUUGUUAAAUUAUUUACUUAUGAUUAUUUCUCACCAUAACUCCGACUAGAUAUACAUUGGGGACAGUGUAAUUUAAGUCUGGGGGGGAUGUUUACUGAUAUUAGUGUGUUCAUGAGUCUUAUAAAAAUGUUUUCAAAAGAGUUUUAUUGAGUCAAGAAGGGUAUAAUGAACUUAUUUGAUUUUUGCUUGUUAUCUAACCACUC
rnacentral:lncRNA from 1 species